rnacentral:lncRNA from 1 species
AUUUUCCCGAAAACUAGAUGAGAAAAUGUUGGUACUAACCAAAUUCUCUAGGCAAUACACCGUUUCAAUUUCUGCAGGUUAGUAACACUGUUAAAGUAGUAAAUCCAAGGUUUGCAGAGUCGGUUUUGACGUAUGCGCGCGUAUAUGUCAAACAAUAAAUAUUAUAUAAAUGAUUUAUGACAUUUGAUUUAAUAAAUGAAUAAAAAUUACACAAAUAACUAAAAAUAUAGUGCAUAGAGAUGAACAAGUUUCUUUGAUGUGCCUUGACAGACAAGAUUUAUGAUUGAAAUCUGGUUUUCCAUAUUAAAAUCAUUGUCAGCCGAGAAACAAAAUCUGUGCAAAAUAAAAUAGAAACAUAAAGAAGGAAGAGGGAAAAAAAUAAAUGGAGAAUAAACAAAUAUAUAUCAGAUAAGUAGCUAAUAUCUUUAUAAAAAAUUAUGUAUUCUAUAUGUGCUUUUUGUAGAUGAACCGAUUCUUUUCUUGAAUUAAUUUUUUGUUUCAGCUUCUUAGCCAAUUGUAGAAUGUUGACAGCUGGACCACCAGAGAACAAUUUCUUGCCGAAUAAAGCUGUCAAAUUCUAAGCCUGCUACUUCUUCGAGUAUGUCAAAAUUGUGAGCAAAAAAGUUGAAAUUAUAUUGUAACAUCAAUUAGAUUUAUCAAUGGUGGAGUAACAGAUUGAUACAACAAACUGAGAGCAGGUUUGUCGAAAUUGUUUGUUCUACAAAGCAUAUGUGCUGUUUGUCUCAGCAAUGUACCGACAUUAUUUAAACUAAAAGAGAUCCCAGAUAGCACGGAGAGUUUAAAAAGAACUCAAUUGUACGUCACCAAUUAUGUUACCAAUUAUGAAUUCUUUUUGAAUCUCUGUGCUAUCUGGGAUACUAUUGUGUUUAUCGUCAACCUGUCAUGAACGCUUUCGAUAGACCUGCUCAUUGUUUACUGUUAUUUUGUUAUAUAGUCUGCUGAUCGGUAUACACCUUUUAUCUUUCAGCAAACAGAAAAUGUGCUACCUACAUUGGCUUUUACAAGAAUGGGUUUAGAAGUAGCGACGGAUGCUUGUCCAACAAUCGAAGAUCAUUUCAUAAGUGAAUACACUAUUUGAUGUAAAAUAAACCAAAAUUAUCUUUUUAAAAACGAUAAAAAAGACGCCAAGUGUAUGCUGUAGAAAACACCUCUUAAAUCUAAGAUAGUCUUCAUCUAAUUCAACCCAAGUAAUAUCACGAGCCUUCUUAUACUAUAACUAAAAUGUAACUUUAAUUAUUAAACUAAUAAUUAUUUUAAAUGAAUUAUACUCACAAACACACACACACACACACACAUUAACUACAAAAAUAAUGAUAUCAAAAUAUUUCUUUAACGAUAAUUUGUUUUACUCCAAAUAGUAUAUGUUUACUUACGAAAUGAUACUCGAUGUUACAAUGUGAUAUCAACUUUUUUGCUUACAAUUUUGGCAUACUCGAGGAAGUAGCAGGCUUAGAAUUUGACAGCAUACUCGGCAAGGAAUUGUUCUCUGAUGGUUCAGCUGUCAACAUUCUACAAUUAGCAAAGAAGCUGAAACAAAAAAUUAAUU